rnacentral:rRNA from 1 species
AUACGUAGGGGGCGAGCGUUGUCCGGAAUUAUUGGGCGUAAAGGGUUCGCAGGCGGUCUGAUAAGUCAGAUGUGAAAGGCAAUGGCUCAACCAUUGUAAGCAUUUGAAACUGUCAGACUUGAGUUAAGGAGAGGAAAGUGGAAUUCCUAGUGUAGCGGUGAAAUGCGUAGAUAUUAGGAGGAAUACCAGUGGCGAAGGCGACUUUCUGGACUUAUACUGACGCUGAGGAACGAAAGCGUGGGGAGCAAACAGGAUUAGAUACCCUGGUAGUCCACGCCGUAAACGAUGAGUGCUAGGUGUUGGGGGUCAAACCUCGGUGCCGCAGCUAACGCAUUAAGCACUCCGCCUGGGGAGUACGUACGCAAGUAUGAA